rnacentral:rRNA from 1 species
UGGGGGAAUCUUCCGCAAUGGGCGCAAGCCUGACGGAGCAACGCCGCGUGAGUGAAGAAGGGUUUCGACUCGUAAAGCUCUGUUGUCGGGGACGAAUGUGGAGAUGGUGAAUAACCAUUUCUAAUGACGGUACCUGACGAGGAAGCCACGGCUAAAUACGUGCCAGCAGCCGCGGUAAUACGUAUGGUGCAAGCGUUAUCCGGAUUUACUGGGUGUAAAGGGUGCGUAGGUGGCAAGGCAAGUCCGAAGUGAAAAUCCGGGGCUCAACCCCGGAACUGCUUUGGAAACUGUUUAGCUGGAGUACAGGAGAGGUAAGUGGAAUUCCUAGUGUAGCGGUGAAAUGCGUAGAUAUUAGGAGGAACACCAGUGGCGAAGGCGACUU